UACGUGGGGUGCGAGCGUUGUUCGGAAUUACUGGGCGUAAAGCGUGUGUAGGCGGCUUUGCAAGUCGGGUGUGAAAUCCCUCAGCUUAACUGAGGAAGUGCGCCCGAAACUGCCGAGCUUGAGUACCGGAGAGGGUGGCGGAAUUCCCCAAGUAGAGGUGAAAUUCGUAGAUAUGGGGAGGAACACCGGUGGCGAAGGCAGCUCACUGGGACGGUAUUGACGCUGAGACGCGAAAGCGUGGGGAGCAAACAGG
rnacentral:rRNA from 1 species